rnacentral:rRNA from 1 species
AUGGCGAACCACGAGGCCGCGGAGGCCGCGUCCAUCCGCAGCGAGGCCCGGGAGGUUCUAAACCUCCACUACGACGACCAGCACGAGGCUGCGGUGGCCCGCGCCGUAGUGCUCGCCGCCGUGCACCCGGGCUCCGCGGUCGCCCUCAACCUCGCCGGCUUGAUCCACCGCCACGCCUUCCUCGUCGCGCGGAACGACAGGGGCGCCCACAGCGACGACGAAGACGACGACGAGAACGCGUCCGCGCUGGAGAAGUACCACCGCCAGGCCGCCCUCGACGCCUUCUCCGCCGCUGCGCGGCUCGCCCCCGGCUGCGUCGUCACCAACGCCGACCACGCCGACGCGCUCGCCGACUGCCGUCGCUUCGAGGACGCGCAGAAGGAGUUUCUCCGCAUGCUCGACACGGUCGCCAACAACGACCAAGCCGACCCGGCGCUGUACAACGUGGUGUACGACAUGAGCGGGGACUCGAGCUCGAAGGAGAGAAGGCGCGACGCCGUGAAGAGCGCCAGCAUCGCCAUGGAGCGCUUCGCGAAAAGAAUCAACCACAGGAUUCUGCCAUUGGAGGCCGCCAAGUUGCUGGACGCCAGCAAUCUCGGCGGGCCUGCCGCCGAUGAAGCGCGAGACCGUGCAAAGCUUCUCGCCGAGACCUACCCCUACUCGCCGCGCGCCCAGCUACUCCGCGCGUACAUCGACUUGGCACCAGUCCGCGCCCUCGAUCCGGCAAUGGACAAGAAGCAGCUUCUGCGCCGCGCGCUCACCACCGUGUCUCAAGCGGCAGAAAACUUCGACCACUCGCUCAUGGUUGCCUUGUUCCACGCCAAGCUCUUGUUCGUCCUGGAUAACUUUGAUGCUGCAGAGAGAGAGUGCCGCCGGGCACUUCGCAUCGAGACACCGUAUGACCCCAAGUGGGAUGACAUACCUCCCAUGGCUGCUCUUGGGGCAGAUUCUGAUGCCAGAGUAUCUUAUGUCAAGAAGCAGCUCCGUGUCUUGCUCAAGCAGAUCAUAGUUGUGGCUGCACUAUACUGGUCCUCUAUGAAGAAUGCACUGCAGGGCCAACGCGUCGUAUCAGUUACGGUUGACACGCUGCAUGCGCACUAUGAUGGAAUCGACAAGUCAGCAGCAAAGACCAUAUCUGAUGCAACGCGCUUUCUCAAGAAUCAGGAGUCAUGGAGUUUCUGGAUUUGCCUCAAUUCCCGUUGUGAUGGCAAGAAGUUUUCGGACACUAGUUCGCUCUGGCAACACACGUGCAGCAAGCACCGAGAUGAGCUCUGGGGGAAGCUGCAGUCACUUAUAGAUCCAGAAUAUUGGGAAAAUACAUCACAGGAUGAUCACUCGUUGGUUGGGAUAACUCUCAACCGCCAGUCUGAAACCUUCCUUUUACCAAGGGUGCAGGAUAUGUUUGAAUCCUUGCUGCUUUCACCAUCUGUUGGAAUACAGGCAGAGCCCUUCGCUGAAAUGCGACAAAGGAAAUGCAGAGAAGGAUCUGAGAUCCUUGGGAGCAUCAGGGAGAAGCUGAGGAUGUUGCCUAAAGAUACACUUAGCACUGAGUUUCAGGAGUGCUGUUCUGGAAUAGAGAAAUUGUGGCUAAAGUUUCUUCAAGUUACUGUUGUGGAUUAUCGUGAAAUCAUUCUUCCCCUUGCGAGAUCAUACCAAUGGAUAGAAUUGAAGAAACGGAUUCCUUUUUAUCUAAAUCAUCCUGGUACUAGGCGUAUUGGAUUUGCUGAUGCCAAUAUUGAUAUUAUAUCCGGAACUUCUGGCCAAUCUGUCAAGGAAAUGGCAAGCACCUCCAGUUCUCAACAAAGCCUUACUGUUUCCAACAAGAACAAUGCUGAUAAAGAAUUGUCUAUCUUGAGUGUAAUCAUACAGUCAUUGUGCAAUCUGAGGCAUUUCAGAGACAAACUUCUGAUGGAGCCACUUGUAUGGAUCCCGUCAGUUGAAAAUCCCUGCAUUGUACAGCAAUUUUAUGAAAUCUUCUCUUCUUGGGAGAAAAACGACCACCACUUAACCGAUGUUGUACUGACUUGCAUGAAGACUCGUCUCUGCAGAGUUGUAGAUUGCAGCACUGAAAAGGUUGGGAAUACUUUUGCUUCUGAGAUUGUGGCCACAAUUCUCAUUGAAUUGCAUAUGUCAGAAACCUGUUCGCGUUUUAGAGAAAACAAGGAGACCGAGAGACAUGUAGUGAACCGAAUCACGUGCGGAGAUUGCAAAUGCCCAACACAUUAUCUUUUUGGGAUCAAAUUCGAUGCUCAAAUCAGCUGUAGCUGUGGGAAGUCUGGCGGUGAAUACCUGUAUACCACACUUUUCCAUAAACUUGAUGCCAGUUCACCUCAAACAGCAAAGAUCAAGUCCUUUGCAGAGCUUCCGGUUCUAUUGGAUGAACAGUUUCGCGAGGACAACAAAUGCGACCAUUGUGGAAGUCUGCAGAAUAUUGAUCUCUUUCUUUCAAACACACCACACUUCUUUACAGUAGUUUUGAACUGGCUGGGUGGCAGUGAAAGCCAGGAUGCACUAUCUGAAGUUCUGGCUGGCAUCACGUCUCCCCUUGACACUGAGUUCUUUUGCAGAAGUGCUCAUUCUGCAGCUAUGUAUGCUGUCACCUCCAUGAUCUGCUAUGCUGAUGACCGCUACGUCUGCUUUGCUCGCGACGAGGACAAGUGGGUCAUAUAUGGCUUCGAGACUGUCGAGAGAGAAGAUAGCUGGGAGCAUUUGCUAGAACGUUUCAAGGACUGCAAGCUCCAGCCUGAAGUUCUAUUUUUCGAGGUCAUCAAGUAG